rnacentral:rRNA from 1 species
UACGAAGGGGGCUAGCGUUGUUCGGAAUUACUGGGCGUAAAGCGCGCGUAGGCGGUUUUGCAAGCCAGAGGUGAAAUGCCUGAGCUCAACUUAGGAAUUGCCUUUGGGACUGCGAGGCUUUGAGGACUGGAGAGGUGAGUGGAAUUCCCAGUGUAGAGGUGAAAUUCGUAGAUAUUGGGAAGAACACCGGUGGCGAAGGCGGCUCACUGGCCAGUUUCUGACGCUGCAGCGCGAAAGCGUGGGGAGCAAACAGG